rnacentral:lncRNA from 1 species
GCGGCCUAGGACCAAGGCUGAACGGGUUUUUACCAUAUUCCGACUUCCCAAUUCACACUCUUCAGCGUAUAAAGCGUGUUUCACCAGGAGCCCUCGUCUUGCUAGUAGCUGACUCUAAUUCAUGUCCUUCUAGCCUAUUUACUGCUUUCACCAAAGCUAUGAAGAAAAUAUACAGAAUCCAACUCUAUUUAAACAGAGAUUUUGUUAUCCAUAGAUUGAUAUAUCAGGAUGGUAUGUAUUUUUAAAACUACAAAUGUAUUAAAUUUAUAAUCUUGGCAAUUCAUGUUUCUAAAUCUGGUUGCGUAUAAAAAUGUAAACAGAAAAUAUUAAUGCAAGAACGCAAAAGUAAUGAGGUUCUUCCAGCUUUUAUUAUCAGCUCUUCAAUCUUGACUAUAUGUUAGCUCUGUCACCAUUUCAUGUAGCUAAACCUUUUUCUUCCUAAGGAUUCAACAUUGAACAUACAGUUUUAAUAAACGGCAUCUGUUUUCCCUUUUAUUCCCCAGUUUCACAAAGACUUCUAAGCUUUGGAAAUGUGUGUGUACCUAGGAACUGGAGAUCAAAGGCAUAAGAAGAUAUUCCUCUAAUAUUUAUUAGAUUUUAUUGCUUAAUAACCAUUUUGGACCAAUA